rnacentral:rRNA from 1 species
UCUGCUCAAUGAAAAAUUAAAUAGCCGCAGAUAUUCUGUGCUAAGGUAGCAUAAUCACUUGUUUUUUAAUUAAAAACUAGAAUGAAAGAUUUAACGUUUUAAUUUCAUUAUUAUUAUUAUAAAUAUUUAAUUUAUAUUUAAUAUAAAAAUAUAUUAAUAAAUAAAAAAGACGACAAGACCCUAUUGAACUUCACUUUUUAGUUUAGCUGGGGCAGCUAUAUAAAUUAUAUUUUAUUUUUUUUUUAAAUUAAAUAAAUUAUCCAAUAAAAUUGAAUUUUAAUUAAGUUACCAUAGGGAUAACAGCGUAAUAAUAUUCUAAAGUUCAUAUUAAAAAUAUUGUUUGCGACCUCGAUGUUGAAUUAUUUUUCUAAUUAACGCAAUAGUUAAUAAAGUAGGUCUGUUCGACCUUUAAUAAAAUACA